ACGAACGCUGGCGGCGUGCUUAACACAUGCAAGUCGAACGGAGAUAGUUUGAAAGCUUGCUGAUAACUAUCUUAGUGGCGCACGGGUGAGUAACACGUGGGCAACCUGCCCGGAAGACUGGGAUAACACCUCGAAAGGGGUGCUAAUACCGGAUACCUUCACGAAGUCGCAUGACUUUGUGCAGGAAGAAAUUCGCUUCCGGAUGGGCCCGCGUCCCAUUAGCUAGUUGGCGAGGUAACGGCUCACCAAGGCGACGAUGGGUAGCUG
rnacentral:rRNA from 1 species